rnacentral:rRNA from 1 species
GAUCAUGGCUCAGGAUGAACGCUAGCUACAGGCUUAACACAUGCAAGUCGAGGGGCAGCGCAGUGUAGCAAUACAUGGGCGGCGACCGGCGCACGGGUGCGUAACGCGUAUCCAACCUUCCCGUUACUCAGGGAUAGCCUUCCGAAAGGGAGAUUAAUACCUGAUGGUGUUCAAAUUCCGCAUGUUAUUUGAACUAAAGAUUUAUCGGUAUCGGAUGGGGAUGCGUGGCAUUAGAUAGUAGGCGGGGUAACGGCCCACCUAGUCUACGAUGUCUAGGGGUUCUGAGAGGAAGGUCCCCCACACUGGAACUGAGACACGGCCAGACUCCUACGGGAGGCAGCAGUGAGGAAUAUUGGUCAAUGGGCGGGAGCCUGAACCAGCCAAGUAGCGUGAAGGAAGACUGCCCCACGGGUUGUAAACUUCUUUUUGUUUGGGAAUAAAAGACGCUACGUGUAGCGUUGUGCAUGUACCUUACGAAUAAGCAUCGGCUAAUUCCGUG